rnacentral:rRNA from 1 species
UGGGGAAUAUUGCACAAUGGGGGAAACCCUGAUGCAGCGACGCCGCGUGGAGGAAGAAGGUCUUCGGAUUGUAAACUCCUGUUGUUGAGGAAGAUAAUGACGGUACUCAACAAGGAAGUGACGGCUAACUACGUGCCAGCAGCCGCGGUAAAACGUAGGUCACAAGCGUUGUCCGGAAUUACUGGGUGUAAAGGGAGCGCAGGCGGGAAGACAAGUUGGAAGUGAAAUCUAUGGGCUCAACCCAUAAACUGCUUUCAAAACUGUUUUUCUUGAGUAGUGCAGAGGUAGGCGGAAUUCCCGGUGUAGCGGUGGAAUGCGUAGAUAUCGGGAGGAACACCAGUGGCGAAGGCGGCCUACUGGGCACCAACUGACGCUGAGGCUCGAAAGUGUGGGUAGCAAACAGGAUUAGAUACCCUGGUAGUCCACACCGUAAACGAUGAUUACUAGGUGUUGGAGGAUUGACCCCUUCAGUGCCGCAGUUAACACAAUAAGUAAUCCACCUGGGGAGUACGACCGCAAGGUUGAAACUCAAAGGAAUUGACGGGGGCCCGCACAAGCAGUGGAGUAUGUGGUUUAAUUCGACGCAACGCGAAGAACCUUACCAAGUCUUGACAUCCUGCGACGAUGCUAGAAAUAGUAUUUUCCUUCGGGACGCAGAGACAGGUGGUGCAUGGUUGUCGUCAGCUCGUGUCGUGAGAUGUUGGGUUAAGUCCCGCAACGAGCGCAACCCUUAUGGUCAGUUACUACGCAAGAGGACUCUGGCCAGACUGCCGUUGACAAAACGGAGGAAGGUGGGGAUGACGUCAAAUCAUCAUGCCCUUUAUGACUUGGGCUACACACGUACUACAAUGGCGUUAAACAAAGAGAAGCAAGACCGCGAGGUGGAGCAAAACUCAGAAACAACGUCCCAGUUCGGACUGCAGGCUGCAACUCGCCUGCACGAAGUCGGAAUUGCUAGUAAUCGUGGAUCAGCAUGCCACGGUGAAUACGUUCCC